UUCGUUAUUUGAAGGUUCUGAAAAAGAAAGUGUACAAAUUAAAAAAAUAAUAAUAAUUCAAUAACACAAAUGUGACAUACUUGAUGAAAAGCAAAGUAAGGAUAAAAAAACAAGUACAAAUUCAGUUCUGUCUUUUCUGUAUUUAAUUUUUAAUGAAGGAAGAGAUGCUCUUUUAUUAUGCUCUUCUUCUUUGCAUAUGAGAGUGAUUGGGAAUGUGUUAUCUUUUAACAACCAUUGAUGUUUAUUAAGUCGUGUUUUAAUAAUGGUAACAGCUUCUUUCCAUCAUUGGUUUAUGAAGCAGACGGAGGUAAACUUUAAAGGAAUGUGUAGUUUUAUACAACCUUGCUGUGCAGUGAAACCACCCACCCAUACAGAGCCAUUUCCUAUCAUACACAGAACAUAAAAUAGUUUUACCCACUACAACUCAAUAUUCAACAUCACUUUCUUUAUUUAGAUAUUACAGUGCAAGACCACAGAGGAAAUGGAAGAGAUCAAGGGAGAACUUGGAGACUGGAUUCAAAUGUGUUCUCUGCAGCAGUGGCUGAUAUUCCAUCAAUUUAUGAACAAGUUGUCAGCCAAUACUUAUACCACAGAUAAAGAGCUAGACAUUACCUUUGAAGAAAUUCUGAUCUUCGCAACGGGAGCUGAUUCUGCACCACCUCGCGGUUUUCCCUCGAGUGUGAGAUCCAGUUCUACGAUCAAGAGCCUGGAAGCCAGCGGAUGCCAUACUCCUCAACCUGUGCCCUUGUUCUGUAUUUGCUAAGAGAAAGUAACUUGACACUACAAACAGUUAAUAUGGAAGACCGUAAGUUCUGUUUCCCCACUGACAACAUUGGGUACAGAUAAAAGAUCCAGUACCCCUGGGCUUUCCUUGCAGAGGUCCCCCAUCACUUGCCGUACCCACAACAUCAGAUGAGAGUGAAAGGCCCUCUAGGUCCCGUAGUGCCUCAAGAAAAAAGGAGGAACCAGAGACCACAGACAUUGUGGAGUGGCUGAUGUCUUUUUUUCAAGUGGCUUUUACCAAACCACACAUACUGAUGCUGAACUAGAUGAAGCUUACCACUUUGCUCUCAGCCUUGUGCCAAUGUUGCACAGAUUGGAUAAGGACAGGAGGCAAAAAGCCAAAAUAGAGAUCUUGAACACAUUACACAAACUAGAAAAAAAAACAACACCAGCAAACUGUUCCCCCAAAACAUGCAGCUGGUUGGCAACCAUUUCAUCCUCCAACAUACACGCCAAUAUAUCCACCCACUCAGGAAAUUACAGGGCAGUCCAGCUCCAGGCCAGCAGGUUUUCGGCCAAUUACCCUUCCUCCACAAGGUACACAAUGGGAAGACGAUAGCACUUAUGGGUCUUACCACUGAGACUUGUAGUCAGUCAAGUAAAACUGACUCGAUUGUACAUAAUUGAUGUAAAAAUGUAAAAGUGUGUUUUUUUAAUUAUUUUAAAAGUGCCUUUUAUUUAAAAUGUUGUGCCUAUUGGUUCUUUUGAUGAUUUUUACUGUUUUAUUUUGUCAAUUUGAAGUUGGUUAUUACAUAUAUUUGUUACUAAAACAAAUAUGAACCUUUGCUGUUUUUGAAAGCUGAAUGAUUCAAUGUUUAUU